CACUACUGCAAAUAAGUAUUUUACAGAUAUCAAAGAGAGCGCUGAAAAGAAUGAAGUUUUUGAUCCUUGAGGUGUCCUUAUGCGCGUCUCUCCUCUAGGAAAUACUGGAAUGAAGUGCAUCUAACGGGUGAACCUAUUGUACUGCAUCAUAAAAGCGGAAGAAGGAGGUGAAAUCAACUUGCCGACUGUUUAGCUGUGGUAAAAGCUAUCAAAUCCAUGAAUCCAGGAACCUAUUCAAUUCUCAAGAACAUCUCUGUCAUAAUGUGGUCGGACCCGUUCACCAAGGAAGGUCGCAGUAAUCAAAGCAUUCAUUUUACUCCUAUUAUCAAGUAAUUGAAAAGCUUUGAGGAUCGAAAUAAUUUCUUGAAAUAUGUUAACUAUUUCAUGAUUCAAUGUGAUUUCUUGACUAUUGACAUUUUAAAUUAUGGGACAUCAUGCAAUUCUAGGCAUUUGCCUGAUGCAAAUGGUUGAGCAUUGCCCAUAUAUUGUGAUGAAGAAAAAUUUGUUUCAAAUCACUUCAAUGAAUAUUAAGAUUCAAGCAUUCUGAUUAUACAGAUUCAAGCAUGGGAAGCGGACAAAUUCUGACAU